AUUCUCGCAUCCUUCCUCACAAGAAGUGUUGCUCUCCCACAACGCUCAUUAUCACGAAUAUCUUUGGAAACGCUGGUGGCUUUCAGCCUCUCAAACUGGUUACACUUGGAUCUACACCACUGGUAUAUCUCCUGAGGUCCAGGAUGAAGCAAUCACCCUGGUUGAAGCUGUCCCAGCUCACUGGUACCUCAAUGACUCAGACUACACAUCUGCCACUCACAUGGAGAAUGCGCUUUACAUCUUCAUUAUUAGAAGCUACAUGCUUGAACCCAGAGGCAACUCCACCUCGCUAAAGAAAUAAAAAUGCAGCAUUCACAGGAGACAGCUUCCAUUUUAACUAAACACACAACAACACCGGUCUCACCUAUCCAGAAAUGAAGGUCGUAUUGUACAUUCCCAGAGUUUUGCUUGAUGGUAUUGAGGAUAAGGAUGGUACACCAUGGUGCUGUUGGAGAAUUAAAAAAACUACCAUGAACUUCCAAAGUUUACCCAAACAGUUUCUCAUGUUGAGAAUAAGGGCAACCUAGAGGAAGAGGGUGAAUCUAUAAUUCUGACACUUCCUAACU